rnacentral:rRNA from 1 species
AGAGCGAACGCUGGCGGCAGGCCUAAUACAUGCAAGUCGAACGCACCUUCGGGUGAGUGGCGGACGGGUGAGUAACACGUGGGAACGUGCCUUUUGGUUCGGAAUAAUCCGGGGAAACCCGGCCUAAUACCGGAUGUGCCCUUCGGGGGAAAGAUUUAUCGCCAUUAGAGCGGCCCGCGUCUGAUUAGCUUGUUGGUGGGGUAAUGGCCCACCAAGGCUACGAUCAGUAGCUGGUCUGAGAGGAUGAUCAGCCACACUGGGACUGAGACACGGCCCCAGACUCCUACGGGAGGCAGCAGUAGGGAAUCUUGCGCAAUGGGCGAAAGCCUGACGCAGCCAUGCCGCGUGAAUGAUGAAGGUCUUAGGAUUGUAAAAUUCUUUCAGCGGGAAGACAAUGACUGUACCGCAGAAGAAGCUCCGGCUAACUUCGUGCCAGCAGCCGC